rnacentral:rRNA from 1 species
CCUACGGGGUGCAGCAGUGGGGAAUAUUGCGCAAUGGGCGAAAGCCUGACGCAGCGACGCCGCGUGAGGGAUGAAGGUCUUCGGAUCGUAAACCUCUGUCAGCAGGGAAGAACGGUCACUGUGCUAAUCAGCAGUGAAUUGACGGUACCUGCAAAGGAAGCACCGGCUAACUCCGUGCCAGCAGCCGCGGUAAUACGGAGGGUGCGAGCGUUAAUCGGAAUUACUGGGCGUAAAGCGCUCGUAGGCGGUAUGGCAAGUCAAGGGUGAAAUCCCCGCGCUCAACGUGGGAACUGCCUUUGAAACUGGCAAACUGGAGUGUGUGAGAGGAUAGUGGAAUUCCAGGUGUAGGAGUGAAAGCCGUAGAUAUCUGGAGGAACAUCAGUGGCGAAGGCGACUAUCUGGCACAUAACUGACGCUGAGGAGCGAAAGCGUGGGUAGCAAACAGGAUUAGAUACCCUAGUAGUC